AUACGACAUCCCACAAUGCACUGCGCAAACCACUUCACAAGCACGAGGAAAUCAAUCGUAAAUGAAUGAAUUAAUUGAAAUUAUUUGCAAAUAAAAUUUUGUUCAUACUUUUGCAAGAUGACCAACUCUCGUGAUCACACGUCUUGACCGAGGGCUUCAGCUGAUGUGUUUUUUUUUGUCUCACAUCUCUGCAGGUUCGGGUCAUUGGAACGAUGCACGAGAUAGACAAUUGACGUCACCCGCAGCCGUCUUGACCAAUUGACCCGUCAAUCUAUGGUCGCCAGAUACAACGCUAUCUUUUGCUGAGAAAAGCCAUGAGGCCACAGGAACCCCUUUGAUCAGUACAAAGGCCCCGGAUGCUUAAGAUCAGCAAAGCAAAUUCCAAAAGAAGGGAACCAGUACAGAAAUGUUUAUUCCAAUAACUAGCAUGAGACCAGCUACUGAUGAUUUACUAAUUAUAACUUGAUUAUAAUUUUUAAAAUAUUAAUAUCGGUGCUUUUUAUUUUCUU